rnacentral:lncRNA from 1 species
GAUGUAUUACGGGAGUCUAAAUGUACAUAAUACUGUAUUAAUACUUGGUUGCUUGUACAUAUAUAUUGUGUUGCUUGGAAUCUGUAAUUACUUUUAAAUGGACUUUAGUCUUAGGAUCGCUAGCUUGGCUACCAUGUGCUUUGGUCGUAGCUACUUAGCUAGCGUCGACUUCGCCAUGAAAGUGUACUUCAGCUUGUCUUUCUCCCAUGUUAGGCUGCCAUUGUGAGGGUUCUCAAAGAGCAUUUCCCAUGUUAAAUAUUCCACCAGCCAGAAUAAACGGCUGGCUGCCAAUGGUUCCAUCGUGGUCUCAAUCACACAACGCAACGAGAGAGUACACAACCGCUACAUAGACACAAGGUGUGCAGCUUCACCCAGCUCCGGAGUCCAAUCAGUCUGUCUGUGGCCAGAUGGGCUGCUUCAACCAAUCCAUCGACGACACCAUCUCCACACACCCCCCAACACCAAAUUGGGGCUGGGGAGAAUCCCCAACCGAUGUUUACUUUCCCACCAAUAACAACCACUAACCGACACUGAUAAAUAUAUAAAAUGAAAUACAUAAGCUGGACUCUGACCUGGGUUAACCUACCCAACAAGGGAUCAUUUCCUUUACCAUGCCUAGAAUAAAUUAAAAAAAGCCCCACUGUCCCCAACCAGCCCAGUUUGACCUCUGACCCACCUCCCUCUCCAUCCUGGAGACCACAGGCCUGGGCUGUUGCCUUGACUGGCCAUGUCUUGCAGGGAUGUCUGGAUGGGCUGACUACAGCGGGGCAAAUUAUGUCAUUUAUUUGUACAGUAAAA